rnacentral:misc_RNA from 1 species
AAAGAGUGAAUUAGACACAUAUUGCUCUUCAACCUUCUGUGAGAUAGAUGGAUCCAUGGGUUGGUUAUCAGGGGUUGGUGGUAUAUGCACUGUAUAGUUCAUGAAAUCACUACUCCCAAGUUCGCUAUCAAGAUCAUCCCUGGAGUAGCUGAUAUAGCGACCUGAAGAAGUUCUUCUUCCAAAUGUCACAGUUGGAGGCAGUGGAGGCUUCUGAGAGUCAGCAGCAUCCGAGCUGACCGAUAAAUUUGAUCGGCUAAGUUUAAAUGAUUUUGAGGCCAUAUUUUAUUAUUAACACAGAGGUAUCUUCAGAUCCUUCUGUUUAUAAAACAGGAAAGGAUCUUUAAGGAAGAACGGAUCUCUUUGUUUGAUUCUAUCAAAGCUUUAAAAAAGACUAAACGGCAAAACUUGAACCAAUCUUUAAAAUGAGAAAAAAAAAACGAAUGCUUCAACGUCACC